CAGAUCCUGAGUUACCUGGUUGCCAGUGACCGUCUGUGUGCGCUGGGCUACGAAGAGGCUCAGGUGGAGGAGGCCAUGGAGAUGUUCCAGAACUGUGAGAGCAAGGCUGGUGAAUUCCUGCAGCUCCUGGCUCAGUUCAAUGAGAUGGGCUUCCAGCAGAGUGCCAUCAAAGAGGUUCUACUGGUCCACGAGAACCACAGGGAGAGGGCCCUGGAGGAUCUCAUGACACAGCACAACUAAUGGCUGUUAUACCAGAGGUUCUACUGAUCCACGAGAACCACAGGGAGAGGGCCCUGGAGGAUCUCAUGACACAGCACAACUAAUGGCUGUUAUACCAGAGGUUCUACUGAUCCACAGGGAGAGGAUCUCAUGACCCAACGGAGGGCUCUUUUCAUUUCUAAAUUUGAGGGCAAUGUUUCCGUGUGAGCAGAGAUCGCAUUCACGGUAAACGCUGCAGAUGUCGGCUUAAUAGGAAAAUACCAUUAUACCGCUGAGAAGUUAUGGAGAUAAAUGUGCAGCAAUAUAGUGAACUUUUACUGGGUCAUGUUCAGUAGGGCACACCGUAGCAGAACAUUUUGAAACAAAACAAGUGUGGCAGUCCGUUUAUGAACACAGCCAUGGGUUUUACUCCAUCAGAAUAUAGAUUCAAAAGAUAUGAUGGAUUAUUGAUUUGCAAGUAAACAUUUUCACCCCGUUGCCUUGACUUUUUCACUUGCAUUCACAAUAAUACUGUAAAAACAUUAAGACAACAGAAAUAGAUGCUCAUUUGGAAACAUUUAAUUACGGUUUGCAAAUCACCAACAGUCAAGGAGUUUGACAAUGUGAUGUCACAUUGGUACCCCCCCCCAAAAAAUGGAAAAGGUGACUAUUUAAAUGUAGUGUAAAGUCAAUGAUCAUUAUUUGCUACAAGCCC